rnacentral:pre_miRNA from 1 species
ACGUAGUGUAGCAUGCCCGUAUGUGGAACUACUCUGAUGUUGAAUUAUUUGUUAUUUAAAUGAUUUUGGGUAACGGGGUGUUACAAACAACG